GAAAAAAUAAGUUAAUUAAACUACUGGGUUCAUACCCCAAUCAUAAAGGUUAUAAUCCUUUUUUUUUCA
rnacentral:tRNA from 1 species